UACGUAGGAGACGAGCGUUGUCCGGAGUUACUGGGCGUAAAGGGUGCGCAGGUGGCGGCGCGCGUGGGGGGUGAAAUCGCCCGGCUUAACUGGGCGGGGGCCUUCCAGACGGCGUGGCUUGAGCAGCGGAGGGGGACGUGGAAUUCCGGGUGGAGCGGUGAAAUGCGUAGAUAUCGGAAGGAACACCAGUGGCGAAAGCGGCUUCCUGGUCCAGCACCGACAUUCAGGCACGAAAGCGUGGGGAGCAAACAGG
rnacentral:rRNA from 1 species